GUCUACAGCCAUGCCACCCUGAGAAGCCCAAUCCUAUCUGAUCUCGGAAGCUACACAGGGGGCCUGGUUAGUACUUGGAUGGAAGACCACCUAGGAAGACCAAGUGCUAUAGGUG
rnacentral:rRNA from 1 species